UUGGUGAGGUAAUGGCUCACCAAGGCGACGACGGGUAGCCGGCCUGAGAGGGCGACCGGCCACACUGGGACUGAGACACGGCCCAGACUCCUACGGGAGGCAGCAGUGGGGAAUAUUGCACAAUGGGCGAAAGCCUGAUGCAGCGACGCCGCGUGAGGGAUGACGGCCUUCGGGUUGUAAACCUCUUUCAGCAGGGAAGAAGCGAAAGUGACGGUACCUGCAGAAGAAGCGCCGGCUAACUACGUGCCAGCAGCCGCGGUAAUACGUAGGGCGCAAGCGUUGUCCGGAAUUAUUGGGCGUAAAGAGCUCGUAGGCGGUCUGUCGCGUCGGAUGUGAAAGCCCGGGGCUUAACCCCGGGUCUGCAUUCGAUACGGGCAGACUAGAGUGUGGUAGGGGUGAUCGGAAUUCCUGGUGUAGCGGUGAAAUGCGCAGAUAUCAGGAGGAACACCGGUGGCGAAGGCGGAUCUCUGGGCCAUUACUGACGCUGAGGAGCGAAAGCGUGGGGGGCGAACAGGAUUAGAUACCCUGGUAGUCCACGCCGUAAACGGUGGGAACUAGGUGUUGGCGACAUUCCACGUCGUCGGUGCCGCAGCUAACGCAUUAAGUUCCCCGCCUGGGGAGUACGG
rnacentral:rRNA from 1 species